rnacentral:rRNA from 1 species
GGCCCGGUAAGUUUUAGAGAUGAGUAAGGUGCCUUCGGGAACCGUGAGACAGGUGCUGCAUGGCUGUCGUCAGCUCGUGUUGUGAAAUGUUGGGUUAAGUCCCGCAACGAGCGCAACCCUUAUCCUUUGUUGCCAGCGGUCCGGCCGGGAACUCAAAGGAGACUGCCAGUGAUAAACUGGAGGAAGGUGGGGAUGACGUCAAGUCAUCAUGGCCCUUACGACCAGGGCUACACACGUGCUACAAUGGCGCAUACAAAGAGAAGCGACCUCGCGAGAGCAAGCGGACCUCAUAAAGUGCGUCGUAGUCCGGAUUGGAGUCUGCAACUCGACUCCAUGAAGUCGGAAUCGCUAGUAAUCGUGGAUCAGAAUGCCACGGUGAAUACGUUCCCGGGUCUUGUACACACCGA